GAGAUGGAGCUUGCUCCCGGAUGUUAGCGGCGGACGGGUGAGUAACACGUGGGUAACCUGCCUGUGGACUGGGAUAACUCCGGGAAGCGGAGCUAAUACCGGAUAGUUCCUUGAACCGCAUGGUUCAUGGAUGAAAGACGGUUUCNGCUGGCACUUACACAUGGACCCGCGGCGCAGUAUCUAGUUGGAGGGGUAAUGGCUCACCUAGGCGACUAUGCGUAGCCGACGUGACNAGGGUGAUCGGCCACACUGGGACUGACANACGGACCAAACUCCUGCAGGAGGUCCCCUGAGGGAAUCUUCCGCAAUGGACGAAAGUCUGACAGAGCAUCUCCCCGUGACUGAUGAAGGUUUUCGGAGCGUAGAGCUCUGUUGGUAGGGAAGAACAUGUGCUAUAGUAACUGCUCGCACCUUGAUAGUACCUAACCAGAAAGCCACGGCUAACUACGUGCCAGCAGCCGCGGUAAUACGUAGGUGGCAAGCGUUGUCCGGAAUUAUUGGGCGUAAAGGGCUCGCAGGCGGUUUCUUAAGUCUGAUGUGAAAGCCCCCGGCUCAACCGGGGAGGGUCAUUGGAAACUGGGAAACUUGAGUGCAGAAGAGGAGAGUGGAAUUCCACGUGUAGCGGUGAAAUGCGUAGAGAUGUGGAGGAACACCAGUGGCGAAGGCGACUCUCUGGUCUGUAACUGACGCUGAGGAGCGAAAGCGUGGGGAGCGAACAGGAUUAGAUACCCUGGUAGUCCACGCCGUAAACGAUGAGUGCUAAGUGUUAGGGGGUUUCCGCCCCUUAGUGCUGCAGCUAACGCAUUAAGCACUCCGCCUGGGGAGUACGGUCGCAAGACUGAAACUCAAAGGAAUUGACGGGGGCCCGCACAAGCGGUGGAGCAUGUGGUUUAAUUCGAAGCAACGCGAAGAACCUUACCAGGUCUUGACAUCCUCUGACAACCCUAGAGAUAGGGCUUUCCCUUCGGGGACAGAGUGACAGGUGGUGCAUGGUUGUCGUCAGCUCGUGUCGUGAGAUGUUGGGUUAAGUCCCGCAACGAGCGCAACCCUUGAUCUUAGUUGCAGCAUUUAGUUGG
rnacentral:rRNA from 2 species